AAAUGGCACACCGAUGUUUACACAAAUUUUGUCUAAAUCUGCCGUGGGUGAAGAGGGCUGGAUCUGAUUGUAACCCUUGGCUAGCGAAGAUGCUAAAAGUAUAUACACUUUUUGAUUAUUGUUCAAAAACGUACAGUGAUUUGGAUUUGUGCACUUUCUACGGUUUUUGUUACAGUUGUCCAUUGAAUAUAAUAGCACAUUUCCGCAUUUUCAUAUAUAACAUUGAUCUAGAAAUAUGUUUUUCUGUUGUAUAGAAUUCACUUGCAUGAUAAUACGUGGUUAGUGAUGAGCAUAGCGC
rnacentral:lncRNA from 1 species